rnacentral:rRNA from 1 species
CGAACGCGGGCGGCGUGCCUAAUACAUGCAAGUCGAGCGAAGUUUUUCUGGUGCUUGCACCGGAAAAACUUAGCGGCGAACGGGUGAGUAACACGUAAAGAACCUGCCUCAUAGACUGGGACAACUAUUGGAAACGAUAGCUAAUACCGGAUAACAGCAUUAACUGCAUGGUUGAUGUUUAAAAGUUGGUUUUGCUAACACUAUGAGAUGGCUUUGCGGUGCAUUAGCUAGUUGGUGGGGUAAAGGCCUACCAAGGCGACGAUGCAUAGCCGACCUGAGAGGGUGAUCGGCCACACUGGGACUGAGACACGGCCCAGACUCCUACGGGAGGCAGCAGUAGGGAAUCUUCCGCAAUGGGCGAAAGCCUGACGGAGCAACGCCGCGUGAGUGAAGAAGGAUUUCGGUUCGUAAAGCUCUGUUGUUAGGGAAGAAUGAUUGUGUAGUAACUA